GGAACUCGACAUUGCAAAACACAUUGAGAAAUACAGAAUGACUGGAUAAGAUUAUUCCAUCUCCAUCCUUAUAAAGAGACGGGCAACUCACGACUGCUCAGCAGAGACGUCCAGAGACGGUUUUUUUGGUUCUGACAAACAAGCUGUGGAAAGGAUGAAGGCUGUUAUGAUCUUUCUGGUGUUGACGCUGGUCGUCAUCAUGGCUGAACCCGGGGAGAGUCAGUCUUACGACGCAGUUCCCCCAUACAUAACUGGGGGUAUAAGGUAUCUCAGACCUGGAACAUUCCAAGAUGAAGUGGCCGAAGACAGACUGAGGCGAUACUAUGAAGACUGAGUCUGUUCUUGAUUUUGAAGAUAUAGUUUGAGCUAUAUCUUUGUGCUUUGCAAAGCAACAAAUAAUUGGAUGAGUAAACAUGAAGCUCUUGAGAUGUAGUGAUUUUAGUCACAGCUCCAAGUGAUGUUGAAAAAAGUAAAAUUGCUUGAUAGUGAAAACUAUCCUGCUGAAUAAAGCUGCAUUCCAAAAGAC